CACAGAGGGUGCAAGCGUUAAUCGGAUUUACUGGGCGUAAAGCGUGCGUAGGCGGUUCAUUAAGUCGGUUGUGAAAUCCCUGGGCUUAACCUGGGAACUGCAGUCGAUACUGGUGAACUAGAAUGCGGUAGAGGGUGGCGGAACUCCGGGUGUAGCGGUGAAAUGCGCAGAUAUCAGGAAGAACACCCGUGGCGAAGGCGGCUCUCUGGGACGGUACUGACGCUGAGACGCGAAAGCGUGGGGAGCGAACAGG
rnacentral:rRNA from 1 species